rnacentral:lncRNA from 1 species
AUUUCAUAAUCAGAAUCUGAAAUGGAGACAACCUUAAUCACUAUUUCAAGUGAGAAUAUACAGAUACUGUUCUCCUUAUUGCAAAAGAAUGUUAGGAAGAUUUUUGAUAUAAAAUUAAGCAAGAUGUUAAGCAAUAUGGACUUUUAAAACUAUUUUUCAUGCUAAGGAGAUCAUUGUUUUUUUCUGACUUAUAACUGUUAUUGAUUUUAUUUUAGCAUAUCUCAUCUAAUUUGACAUGCAAAUUUUCAAAAAGAAAUAUGAGGAAAUAUGAGUUUGUGUGUUAAUUGACAAAGUAGAUACGGGGUAUUUUAAUAUUCAAAUGAAUUUUGCCCUAGUAUCUUUUGAUGGAUUUGCCCUAGCAUCCUAGCAUCUAUGCUUUAAGAAGAAAAUUAAUAAACAAAUGCAAAAGAGUACUAUCAGCCUCUUCUCAAAAAAGAGAGGUAUUGAAGUAAUGUAGAAAUGCUUCAUUCUUAAACAACACAGUCAGGUGAGCUCAGCCCAAGGACUUGGACUAUGAACACCACAUUUGGUGUGUGACUUCAUGAUUUAAUGUCACUCUGUUAGCCCUUGUCGGCACAACUGAAAAAACUGAAAAUUCAGGCGGCUUCAGUCCCAGUACCAUCUAAGUUGGCCUCCAACUUGGUGUUCUUCUAGAUUGCAAAACAAAAAUCAUACAAAAUUAACAGACUUCCAGUCAAACUUAGUUAAACACAUGCUUUUCUAACUACCUUUUAUUGCCUUCCUUUUCUAGGUCUGUAGGGAUUUUACACUGCAUAUCUGGAAAAACAAGUCACCGUUUAAACACUAAGUCUACAGCAUGAAUGAUGCUAACACGGGGAGUAACUUCACUCCUGGAGUAAUCCCGCUGUGACACAGAAGUAAAGUUAAAGCUCAGGUCUGGAGAGCAACGUUUUCUGUCGAUAGCAGUUUCUGUCUGGUGUGAUGCCCCAUUCUUGUGCUGAUGCUACUUGUAGCACUGAGCAGUACUGGAAAGGAGAAAAGGUCUCUUGGAAUAAGAACAAAUUGGAGCUGGGAAGACAAAAGAAAAUACAUAUGAAGAACUUAGAACUGAGAACCCUGGGGAAGAGGCUCUUGCUUGGAGAGGACCCUUUGGUGGAAUACCUUGAAGAAGGGCUAUAGGUCAGUUGUAGAAGUAUGACAAUGGAGGGAACAGUUAUGAACUUAGAGUGUUUUGUUGGGUCCAUGUUUCACUUCACCUUGACUUGUCAUUUUUUGGUGGCUUCCUCUGUGUUUGUAUCUACUGAACAGAGCUUUUAAUGCAUCCAAGUGUUAUACUGGGCUGUAAUGUUCUAUAAGCUUUUGUUAGUCUAACAGUUGUUUUCCAAAGUAUUCUUAGGAUGCUGUGAAUAGUACCUAUGACUGAAAGUAUACUCCGUAGUCCCUGUGCUUGUGUUGUCAGAAAUAGCAUAUCUUACCAUUCUAUACCCAAAGUUCUUUCCUAAUAGAAUGGUUAUAAUGAGCACUAUUUUGAGUAAUGUUUUCAUAUUGUUUGUUCACAUCAUUUCUGGUCAAAGUGCAGUGCAAUUAAAGAUACUGCCUAAAGGCAUUGCUUCCAGUUUACUAUCUUUUCACUGGUAAAAGACAUAUUGAGGUGAGAGUUUGUUACUUAAACACAGGACUGGUAAAUAUGACACACAACCUGCAUUAGACCCAUGACCAUCUGGAGCAGCAGCUGAGCCCUUGGCAGGAUACCCUGGGGUAUGCAAAAUGCACUAGUAGCUUGUGCUUAGCAGUUCUAUCCUAUAUAUUGGAUUUUCGUUGCAAGGAACCAUAAAACCUAAACUGAUUUAGUUAGGAUUGUGACAGACUGUAAUCCUAGAUUCAGAGGUGACCUAGACAGUAAAAACUGUCUUUUGUAAGUGGGAGUACCUGAAAACUGCAAAGAAAGACACAUAGAAAUAAAGCAAGUAAGGCAACUGCUAUGAAGACA